GAUGAACGCUGGCGGCGUGCUUAACACAUGCAAGUCGAACGGUGAAGCAGGAGCUUGCUCUUGUGGAUCAGUGGCGAACGGGUGAGUAACACGUGAGCAACCUGCCCCUGACUCUGGGAUAAGCGCUGGAAACGGCGUCUAAUACUGGAUAUGUGAUGUGACCGCAUGGUCUGCAUCUGGAAAGAAUUUCGGUUGGGGAUGGGCUCGCGGCCUUUCAGCUUGUUGGUGAGGUAAUGGCUCACCAAGGCGUCGACGGGUAGCCGGCCUGAGAGGGUGACCGGCCACACUGGGACUGAGAGACGGCCCAGACUCCUACGGGAGGCAGCAGUGGGGAAUAUUGAACAAUGGGCGGAAGCCUGAUGCAGCAACGCCGCGUGAGGGAUGACGGCCUUCGGGUUGUAAACCUCUUUUAGCAGGGAAGAAGCGAAAGUGACGGUACCUGCAGAAAAAGCACCGGCUAACUACGUGCCAGCAGCCGCCGUAA
rnacentral:rRNA from 1 species